rnacentral:misc_RNA from 1 species
AAUUGGUUUUGUUGCAUUUUUAAUUUUCUUUUAUUUAUCUCUAGCUGCUGCUUCUUCUGUUACAAGCUCGAAGUCAUGGGAAGAAUUCAGAAAGUAUCGCUCCCAGCAUCCAGGCCCUCUAUCUAUGAGGGCCUUCCAUCGCUGGUGUUUGUAUGGGGACGACCAUCUCUCCUUUAGAUGGAGGGAUGGCACCCCAUACAACAC